UUGAUGCAAAGUCAAAACGAGCUUAGCAUAAGUGCGCUACGCUCGAUCGGGUAAGCAUAACUAUUGGGUAUGAAGUCAUAUGGACCUAAGGUUUGGUGUGAGUGCUUUACACAUAAGGAUAAUAGGCCUAGCAGAUGAUUAAGUCGAAAUUAUUGAAGUGAUAAGGUUUUCAUAAGUCAAAAGGUGAAAUGAUGAGAUGAAAUGUGUCAAAUUUUGAUACAAUAAGGCUAAAUCAUUGAAAAUAAAGAAUUUUCAUCAACCUUAUCACUUUGCACGACCAUUACUCUGAAAAACAAAGAGAAAAGAAAACCAAAAACAAUUUCUUGGCUGGUUUGAAGAAAUUCUAAGGAGAUCCAAGUGAAAUCAAAGCCAAAGAAGUGGAUUAAGCUUAGUUCUAGCCUUUUUAUGAUAUUUCUUGGUGGUUUCCAAGUGGUUUGAGGUUUAGAAAAGCUUGAAGAGAUUGUUUUCGCCGAAAAGUUGCUCGGAUAAGCACAUCAAUACCUAAGACACCACUUGUUACACGGUGAAUUAUAUUUUGGACAGAAGGUAGAGAAAGAAAUGUGUGAAUGACAUGAGGAGAACUGAAGCAUGGUCCUGACCCUGAUUUGUACAUAUGAACAUAUCGACCUUUUUGUGGGUUAUUUCAGUUUAUCAAUGUGAUAUUUGUAAUAAAGUGUGAAGUUAUGUUUUGAAAACAAAUUGGGUUAUUUAAUAUUUAUGUAUAAUAUGUUUGAGACACACUUUAUGUUUAAUAUAAAUAAUGUGAAAUAAGUUUUCAAGUUUAAAAAAAAAAAAAAUGUCCAGACUUCCGCAAUAAGAAAUUAUGAUAUAGUUUUAAAACGUAACACCUCAGAUAUGGUUUUAACUAAAAUAAGUGAGGGU